UUCCGUCAGAAAGGGUCUGUCAUGGUCAUUCUAGUGUUUCUGAGAAGUGCAGAGGUCCAGAUCCAUCAUGUGCCCAAAACCCUUUUAAGGUCCUUCGGUUAUUGAAUGAACACAGUGGAUAAGAGCAGAUUUUGCAGUUGUAUGAUGAAUGG